rnacentral:lncRNA from 1 species
AAAAAAGUAAAAAACCCAAAAAAAAAAAAAAACAUAUUUGAAACCCAAUUUAAUCCUCUAUAAAUCUAGAAAAUUAGAAAUCGGCUCUGAAUAUUCAAAGAUCAUCAGGGUACAACAGGGCUCUACUGUUGGAACAUGCUCACUGUGAUUUCUUGAACUUACAGCUUAAUAUCUGCAUUUGCAGAGCAUUAAGGGCUAAUGAAAAAAUCAAAAUGUUAAAUCGGAAUUUUUGGAAGUAGUUGUGAAAUUAGGGUUUUGCUAGAAAAAGUUGAUAAAGAAAAUAAAGUAGAAAAAAUUCAGAAUUUUAAAAUAAAAUAAACCCGAGAAAUUAAAUAUAAUAAUUUAAUUAGGUAAG